rnacentral:rRNA from 1 species
CCUACGGGUGGCAGCAGUGAGGAAUAUUGGUCAAUGGACGCAAGUCUGAACCAGCCAUGCCGCGUGCAGGAAGACGGCUCUAUGAGUUUUAAACUGCUUUUGUACGAGGGUAAACGCAGCUACGUGUAUCCGUCUGAAAGUCUCGUACGAAUAAGGAACGGCUAAAUCCGUGCCAGCAGCCGCGGUAAUACGGAGGAUUCAAGCGUUAUCCGGAUUUAAUGGGUUUAAAGGGUGCGUAGGCUGUCGGAUAAGUUAGAGGUGACAUCCCGAGGCUCAACGUCGGAAUUGCCGCUGAUACUGUCCGGCUAGAGAGUAGUAGCGGUAGGCGGAAUGUAUGGUGUAGCGGUGAAAUGCUUAGAGAUCAUACAGAACACCGAUUGCGAAGGCAGCUUACCAAGCUACUUCUGACGUUGAGGCACGAAAGCGUGGGGAGCAAACAGGAUUAGAUACCCGAGUAGUC